rnacentral:rRNA from 1 species
CCUACGGGGGGCUGCAGUGGGGAAUAUUGGACAAUGGGGGGAACCCUGAUCCAGCCAUGCCGCGUGUGUGAAGAAGGCCCUCGGGUUGUAAAGCACUUUCAGCGAGGAAGAACGCCUUGUGGUUAAUACCCAUCAGCAAAGACAUCACUCACAGAAGAAGCACCGGCUAACUCCGUGCCAGCAGCCGCGGUAAUACGGAGGGUGCGAGCGUUAAUCGGAAUUACUGGGCGUAAAGCGCGCGUAGGUGGCUUGAUAAGCCGGUUGUGAAAGCCCCGGGCUCAACCUGGGAACGGCAUCCGGAACUGGCAAGCUAGAGUGCAGGAGAGGGAGGUAGAAUUCCCGGUGUAGCGGUGAAAUGCGUAGAGAUCGGGAGGAAUACCAGUGGCGAAGGCGGCCUUCUGGACGGACACUGACGCUGAGGUGCGAAAGCGUGGGUAGCAAACAGGAUUAGAUACCCCUGUAGUC